UUCAGAAACUAUUCAUUCUACUGGCUUUAGGACAACAAUCCAAUAUCUAAGUACUAAGGGUUUGAGCACAGGAUUAGCAGAAGUUUAUCUGAAGGAUCUUGACAAAAUUGUGUAGAAUUGAUCACACUAGACAAAAAGCCUAAGGAGAAAACUAGUCAGCCAUAGAUUUACAGGUCUGAUUGGAGACAGACAGGAAUAGUCAAAAUUUCAAACUAUACUUGAAAAACCAAGAAUUGACUCAAAAAGCUAUGAUCUCCAGGGAUUAUACUGUCCAAUCCCUUUGUCAUGUUUGUUCUCAUCAGGCAACCGACAAAGGAAUUCUCAAAAGAGAAAACCAACAUCUCUGAAUUGACCAGUUAGAAAUACAAUUAAUUACACAUAGUGUUAGUCUCCUAAUUAAUGCUAGAAGGAUUUGAUAUUUCAACUAAUCCACAGUUACUGACGUUUUAUUCAGUUUUCAUUAUUGUAUUAGCUAUUUCUCUGUUACUGUAAUAGAACAUGAGGGGCAAUGACAAAAGUUAUGGAAAGAAGGGUUUACCGUUCCAGAAGGUUGAAAGUUCACCAUGGCAAGGAGACAAGGCAUCAGCAAGAUGUGACACAUUUUCCCCCCACUCCCAUAACCCCUUCCCCUGCUUCUAUGAGGAUGCUUCACUUCCUACUCCUCCCUCUCACCCACUCACUUCCUCCCACCCACUCCCAACUCACCAACCUGCGUUCCCCUACACUGGUGAAAAGGAGCCUUCACAGGACCAAGGGCUUCUCUUCCAAUUGAUGCCAGACAGUGCCAUCCUCUGCUACACGGGCAGCUGGAGCCGUGGCAUACUCCAUGUGCACUCUUUGGUUGGUGGUUUAGUCCCUGAGAACUCUGGAAGGGGUCUGAUCCAUCUUCAAGAUGACUACUUGGUAAUGCUUAAGGCAAUUCGCAUUUUGGUUCGGGAACGUCAAACACAGGAUGUUGUUGCUAAAGCAAAUCAAACAAAAGAGGGCUUACCUGUCGCUUUAGACAAACAUAUUCUUGGCUUUGACACAGGUGAUGCAGUUCUUAAUGAAGCUGCUCGGAUCCUGCGGAUGCUACACAUGGAAGAGCUCAGAGAGCUACAGGUGAAAAUUAAUGAAGCCACUGCCAUUCAGGCAAUCACUGCUGAGCCAAAGACAGACCAGAGACAGGGAAAAGUUGUAAGAUUCUCAGCCCUAGGGAGAAAUCUUAGAUCCUUAAAUCCUACUUUGAAUAAGCUUCCGGGUAUAUUAUUAAGCAAAAGAGAGGCGUCACGGAUACAUCCGAACCGUAGUGAUGUCCUUGAGGAAGAGCAGAUGCAUGGAGAACCCCAAGGAGAGUUAAAAGUUCUGUUAGCUUUCAGUGCAAAUGAAGCAGAACUACAGGGACAAGUCGAAAAUGUGCAUUGGUGUCUUAGCCAGCCAACCUCCCAAGGAAUUCUGGAGCGGUAUGAGUAUGGUGACAUAGAAGAAAAAGGCAAAAUCAUGGGAUACAGGCAGCAGUAG